rnacentral:lncRNA from 1 species
GGGCUAUUGCAGGAAUGAGGAUACACCAUCAUACAUCAUUUAAAGGCAGAAAAUUACGAAAUGGGCAUGCAUGAACAUCUCUAGGUAAAUAAUUCCGUUUAAUUGUCGAGGGGGAAAAAUUGUGCUUGAACAUGUUAGUUCUACUUUGAAAUGUUAAAAGUUUACUUUGUGUGAGCUACAAGUAUGGGAUGUCUAAACCACUGAUGCAUGACGACCUAAUUCGACAAUGCAGCAACUUUAAACAUUCAAUGUGAUCUGUUCAUGGGAGUAAUUGAUGGAGAAUCGCUUAUCAGCUGUGCUUGCGUUCUCACUCCAUAUACUUGAACAGUCUCAAGCCAAAUUGGUGACAGUUAUUUUUGGUUCAGGUAAGGCCUGGGCUCAGUUCUGGGUCAAAUUUUAGUUCAGUUAGAAAUACGCCUUCCUGAGAAAAUUUUUCUAAUUGAAAAAAAAAAUUGCAGACAUGCAUGUGCAAAUCCCAACCCCACCUGAUGAUGCAAAUAAAGUAUGCACAACAUUGCACCAGCUUUUGUGCCACUGCUUUUGGGCCACUGGGUGGAACUGACAUCUUUUUCUUUACCCGUGAUGUCAGCUGCGUAUGUCAACCAUUCAGCUGGUGCCCUUUUAGGCUGGCCACUACUGCCUGCUUCCUUCACUGUGAAAAUGCCAAGAUGAUUGAAGGUACUACUGUGCCAGGAUGGGAAAAGCCCAGUCGGGAAACCAACUAUACAAGAUACCAACUACACGAAAAAAAAUUGGAGUAUGCAUAGCUAGUUCUGUGCUCACGCUAAAUGUUUACUGUCGCUGUAAAUGAAACCUUGGAGCUUUUUGUGUGCUGUUUCCCACAAAUGAAAACCAAGAGAAUAACUGCAUUUAACAUUUUAUUUUUUAUCUGAUACACCACUCAAUCCCCUAUAAAACUUAAGUGAGGCUGUAUAACCAGCUAUGUACAAAAUGUAAAAAAUAUUACACACUGUUUUGAACCACCACACCCUGAGACAUCCCAAGCAGUAAUUGAUGCAAUCACUGCUUGGAUGUCUUAUAAUGUGCCUGUUCAAAACACACACACAUGCACA